GAUGAACGCUGGCGGCGUGCCUAAUACAUGCAAGUCGAGCGAACGGACGAGAAGCUUGCUUCUCUGAUGUUAGCGGCGGACGGGUGAGUAACACGUGGAUAACCUACCUAUAAGACUGGGAUAACUUCGGGAAACCGGAGCUAAUACCGGAUAAUAUUUUGAACCGCAUGGUUCAAAAGUGAAAGACGGUCUUGCUGUCACUUAUAGAUGGAUCCGCGCUGCAUUAGCUAGUUGGUAAGGUAACGGCUUACCAAGGCAACGAUGCAUAGCCGACCUGAGAGGGUGAUCGGCCACACUGGAACUGAGACACGGUCCAGACUCCUACGGGAGGCAGCAGUAGGGAAUCUUCCGCAAUGGGCGAAAGCCUGACGGAGCAACGCCGCGUGAGUGAUGAAGGUCUUCGGAUCGUAAAACUCUGUUAUUAGGGAAGAACAUAUGUGUAAGUAACUGUGCACAUCUUGACGGUACCUAAUCAGAAAGCCACGGCUAACUACGUGCCAGCAGCCGCGGUAAUACGUAGGUGGCAAGCGUUAUCCGGAAUUAUUGGGCGUAAAGCGCGCGUAGGCGGUUUUUUAGUCUGAUGUGAAAGCCCACGGCUCAACCGUGGAGGGUCAUUGGAAACUGGAAAACUUGAGUGCAGAAGAGGAAAGUGGAAUUCCAUGUGUAGCGGUGAAAUGCGCAGAGAUAUGGAGGAACACCAGUGGCGAAGGCGACUUUCUGGUCUGUAACUGACGCUGAUGUGCGAAAGCGUGGGGAUCAAACAGGAUUAGAUACCCUGGUAGUCCACGCCGUAAACGAUGAGUGCUAAGUGUUAGGGGGUUUCCGCCCCUUAGUGCUGCAGCUAACGCAUUAAGCACUCCGCCUGGGGAGUACGACCGCAAGGUUGAAACUCAAAGGAAUUGACGGGGACCCGCACAAGCGGUGGAGCAUGUGGUUUAAUUCGAAGCAACGCGAAGAACCUUACCAAAUCUUGACAUCCUUUGACAACUCUAGAGAUAGAGCCUUCCCCUUCGGGGGACAAAGUGACAGGUGGUGCAUGGUUGUCGUCAGCUCGUGUCGUGAGAUGUUGGGUUAAGUCCCGCAACGAGCGCAACCCUUAAGCUUAGUUGCCAUCAUUAAGUUGGGCACUCUAAGUUGACUGCCGGUGACAAACCGGAGGAAGGUGGGGAUGACGUCAAAUCAUCAUGCCCCUUAUGAUUUGGGCUACACACGUGCUACAAUGGACAAUACAAAGGGCAGCGAAACCGCGAGGUCAAGCAAAUCCCAUAAAGUUGUUCUCAGUUCGGAUUGUAGUCUGCAACUCGACUACAUGAAGCUGGAAUCGCAAGUAAUCGUAGAUCAGCAUGCUACGGUGAAUACGUUCCCGGGUCU
rnacentral:rRNA from 1 species